CCACUCAGCCUGACCACCCAAUCCUGUAGAAACCAAAGCUACAACCUAACCCGAAAACACAUAUGGGAAAGUCGAAAUUGAGCUUAAAUAACCAUCUUGAUAACCCACAUGUCAGAAUAACAAAACGACAUUAAAGCAAU